rnacentral:ncRNA from 1 species
AAAUCUUCUUGACUUUAAUUUUAUCUUGAUAUUUCCAAUCACUCUCUUUCAUUGACGUGGGUGCGCGACUUUCCGGACAUCCUGUAAAUAUAUAUUAAUAAUAUUAAUAUAUAUUAGAGGUGAAAUUCUUCGAUCGUUGCAAGAAUGACAGAAGCGAAAGCGUUUGCCAAAAACGCUUUCACUAGUCAAGAACGAAAAUUAGAGGUUCGAAGACGGUAACAUACCGCCCUAGUUCUAACCAUAAACGAUGCUAGCGAUCCGCCGACGUUCCUCCGACGACUCGUCGAGCAGCUGCCAAAGCUUUUGAGCU